GGAGCAGCAGCAGUUGUAGGAAGCAGAGCAAGAGUGACGAAGAAGCAACAACCAGAAGCCUGUAGGAAAAAGUGCAGUCCCUCAAAAGCUGGAAGGAGACAAGCACAAGGGUCUGAGUCUGGAUCCUCAGAGGACCAACCCCCACCACCACCAUCAUCUUCAGAACCUCAAUUCAAGACUUGUUCUAGAGCACCAGCAACCGGAAGAAGAAGACUCAGACACCCACCACCACCCCCACCCCCACCAUCAGCCGCAGCAGCAGCAACAGCAACAGCCACCACCUUCCUCCUUCAUCCAUGGCCAUCAUCUCCAUCAUCAAUAUCCUCAAACCCAACAUUUGUAUCCAAUUGUAGACACAAACCCACCACCACAAGCCCCAAAGAAGCGGACCCAUUUGCCGUCGUCAUCGUCAUUGGCGCAAAACGUCAAACAUGUCAUGGGAGAGACUCACCAGCAACAACAGGCAGCGUCGUCGUCGAGAAUGGGGAUGAGGAGCGUGGUCGGCGGCGAGAUUGUGGAGGUUCAAGGCGGCCACAUUGUCCGCUCCACCGGCAGAAAAGACCGCCACAGCAAGGUGUGCACCGCCAAAGGCCCCAGAGACCGCCGCGUUCGCCUCUCCGCCCACACUGCCAUCCAAUUCUACGACGUCCAGGACCGCCUCGGCUACGACCGCCCCAGCAAGGCCGUCGAUUGGCUCAUCAAGAAGGCCAAAGCCGCCAUCGACGAGCUCGCUCAACUCCCAGCUUGGCAUCCCACUGCCAUCACCGUCACCGCGGCCGCCGCUGCUGCUACCACCGCAACCACCACCCACCACCAGGAAGACGAAGAAAAUCCCAACCAGGUCGCCAUUGAUGGCGACGAUGAUCGUGUGCAAAUGCAUCACGGCAACAAUCCGGACCCCAACCCCAAUCCUAACCCUAACCAAAACCCUAGUUUUCUUCCGCCAUCGUUAGACUCUGAUACCAUUGCGGACACAAUCAAGAGCUUUUUUCCCAUGGGUGCUUCUGGGGAAUCCUCGUCUUCGUCCGUACAGUUUCAGAGCUACCCGCCCGAUUUGCUCUCGAGAACCAGUAGUCAGAAUCAAGAUCUUCGCCUUUCGCUUCAGAGCUUCCAAGACCCUAUGCUUCUUCAUCAUCACCACACCCAGAGCCACUCUCAUCAUCAACAACAAGCCCUUUUUUCGCCGUUAGGCUUCGACGCCCCCUCCGCCGCUUGGUCCGAGCACCACGCAGCGGAGAUGGGGCGGUUUCAGAGAAUGGUGGCUUGGAACGCCGGCGCCGAGAGCAGUGGCGGUGGAGGAUUCGUGUUCAACUCCCCGCCGACACCGACACCAGCUCCGCCGCCGCUUCAGCCAUUGUUUUGCCAAAGCCAGAUGUAUUCUCAGAGGGGACCCCUUCAGUCCAGCAACACGCCUUCGAUUCGCGCUUGGAUAGACCCGCCAAUUGCCGCCACCAUCGACCACCACCACCACCACCAUCAAACAACUCCCAUUCAACCAUCCAUGAUUUCCGGCAUUGGUUUCGUCCCUGGCGGGUUUUCCGGAUUUCGGAUUCCAGCACGAAUUCAGGGUGAGGAGGAGCACGAUGGCAUCUCCGACAAGCCGUCCUCUGCUUCCUCCGAUUCUCGCCAUUGAGUGUAGCACUAAAACCCCGAAAUCUUCUCUAACAGGUCAAAAAUUUAACACCCAUUUCUCCAAUUCAUUCAAUGUUUCCACAUUCUCAGUUUUCACUUGCAUUCAUUCUGCAGGGCUAAUCCAUCAUCCACAAAGGGAGGCCAAAGAACUAGCUGUUGUGUGUGGUCUUUUGAGCAAAUUCAAAGCAAUCUGAAGAGGGAUUUCGGUGACUUCUAUCCAAUGGCCUAAUCCGCGGGAAGAAGAAAUCUGAGUUGGGAUUUCAGGUUUUUCGAUCCCCGGUUUGCUUAGCUUCUAUCAGUUGAUUUAUGUUCUUAGAUUUGCUUUCCUGUUUUGAGCGGGCUUUCAGAGCUCAACUUUGUUGAAAUCUUUGUUGGAUUGUUAUGUGUUUGGGUUUUGCUAGACUUGUAUGCUAUUGCUGUUUGCUUUUUCCUCAUUUCUAGAGUUGGUUAAAAAACAGAACUUUGUUUUUCCUUGUCAAAGUUUUUCGUAUUUUCCCCAAUCAGAACAGUCUGAAGGCUUUGAAUAUGACACCAAUUCGAGGAAA
rnacentral:lncRNA from 1 species